UGUUGAGGCCCAGGCUGCUAGAGCGGGCAGAGGAGGCGGAGAUACCCUGUUUCCUAGAGGGCCUGCCUGGUUUCCCCAGGAGGACCCGGCCUAUUGAGUGACUAGGGUUCUAGCCGAAAGAGGAAGAGGGACAGGGCCGGGUGUGAUGGGGCCUAGAGUCACAGAGCCCUGCGGCCCUGCUGUCCCUGCAAGAAGCCAGCUUCUUCCUCCUAUUUUGCAACCUUCUCCCGGUAUCCUUGAACAUUUUAGGGACACCCAUCACUUACCCUGUAUAGCAACCCUAUUAAAUAUGGGAGUCUCCACCAUGUUGCGCAAGCUGGAGUGCAGUGGUGCGAUCUCGACUCACUCAACCUCUGCCUCCAAGGUUCAAGUUAUUCUCCUGCCUCAGCUUCCGGAGUAGCUAGGACUACAGGAUCUCUCCUGACUCCACUAAUCUGGCCGCAUGACUGGUGGGCACCUGAGGACCCUCCCUUCUUCCUCUGCUACACAUCACUGACUGACCCACACCCUCACCUCCCCACUCCUCCCAUGUCUACCCUCAAACAAAAAGACGGCAGCCAUCACAGAUGAGUAACUUUAUAUUCAGUACAAAUGUUUAUUUUUGCAAUGAGAACUGCACAAAAAAAAAGAACCUUUCGUAUAUAUAAGUGAAAAGUCUGAAUUCCCUUCUACAAAUGUCUAAAGUGUUUAAUACAAGUCUCAGAUUCACUGACAUAAUUAUUGGCCAAGCGAUCCGUGCAUACAGUACAGUAGGGGCUUGUACACACCUCUUACUCUGGUAUAGGACUAAAAGUUCCUAGUACUGUGGGAAGGAUUGGGAAAUGGCUGGAGAAACUAAAUAGAUCCCAGUUCUAAUUACAACCCAGUUAGAGAGACACCCAUCAGGGAGGUGUGGAGAAGGCCAUGACAGAGUUAAAUCUUCAGCAGGAAGGUGUAGCCAAAACUAUCACUGGGAAAGUGUCUGAACAAAACCAGGAACAAAAAUAAGGGGAUGGGAUGAGAUGGAAAAAACCUCGAAGAACCUAAAUACGUCACACUUGAAGUGGCACAGAGGUCUUUGAGGAAGUGCCUGGGUGGGCAGGGACGUUAAGGAAGGGAGGUGGGCGCUCUGGCUGGAUGCCUAAAUAAUACCCUCAAAGGGAGGUUUGGCAGAUCCAAAGACAAAAAAGGACCUUUCAGGUCGAAAAGUGGGGAUGUAGGUUAAUAAACAGUGCUAGAAAUGUUUCAGUUUGUCUCUGCAUACAUAUACAUUAUAUACUUUUAUCUUACAUCUUAGGGGCUCUUGUUGGGCAUCACCCGUGCCUCGUGGCUGGGGCAUGUGGGCCUAGGUGGGCACACAGGGAGGGCAGCUACCUGUGGGCUUUCUUGGGCAGGAAUAUGUGUGCAUGUGUGUGUAUGUGCAUGGCAGGGUGAGGAUUCUAAUGGUCCGGGGGGGGGAAUGUAGAUUUCUCUAGAAUAUCUGAUUAACCCUGAGCUUAAAUGAAAGGAGUUAGGUAGAGGCAGGCAAGGUGGAAGAAGUUGCCCAAGUCCUUUGGUGAGUGGGGGAUGGGAUGAAGGAGAGUGCAGGGGAAGAAUACUGUCUGGAGUUUGGCCAGGGUUCUGCUGGAGCAUGCCCUCCAUCUUGGCCAGGGUCCACAAGGAUGAGUACCUGGCUCGGGUCACAGCUUCGGCUUGAAGUGGCUGCUAUGAGCCUGCGUGGCUCCUGUCCAGGGCAGGCAGGGAUAGGCCACAGGAGAGGGGCUAAUUCCUGGUGAUAGUUCUUGUACAGAGGUGGUCCGGGGUCCAGGGGGGGCCCCUGGGCCUAGCCUAGGCAACAACUGGUUCACAAAGAAAUGUCAGGGAGACGCCAGCAUUAAAAAAGAGAGAUGUGUUUAUUCCAUGAUCAGUACAGACCAAAUGCAUAUUCACCGUAUGAAAGUCAAACCAGUCAGUGACUCCAGAGUUUGGCCAACACUGAGGCACCAGUGUCGUGGUGUAGAGUGGGUUCUCAUGGCACACGUAACCUCACCAAGGGCUCCAAUUAUUUAAAAAAAAAAAAAGCAUGGGCAGGAGCGAGUGGCCGCUAGUCAGGGCUGGGCACCAGGUGAGGGAAUCUUUGCCUCAGUCUGUGGCGCCCCUGGGGCCUGGUGCCCACCUUGUCCCUUGGCCCUUCCUUUAUCAGUUUAAAAAACAAAACAAAACGAAACAAAACAAAAACCUCAAAACAGAUCUGACAUUAAAAAAAAAGCCAACAAAUGAGGGGUGAGGUGGGAGGAGGGGAAGGAAAAUAAAUUGCAGCUUUCUGGUUUUAUAAUUAAAAAUAGACGAAGUUUGAAACCGAGUAAAAUAUAGGCAGGAUUUUUUUGUGUUUUGUCUUUUUUGUGGAUUUUUUUGAGCUUUUUUUCUUUUUUACACCAGUUUGGUGGAGUCACGAACAAACUUCAAAGAUAUGCCAACUAUGUUCACUAUACAGUACAGCCACGGUCACACACUACCCACAGCGCGGUGGCAGCCGCCGCUCAAUGAGGAGACGAUCACACCAUUUCAGAGAUAAGCAGUGCCAUGUGUCUGGAGAAGAGAUAAUUAAAAAUAAAAUAGAAUUCAACAAAAAAUAUAUAUAGGAAAAAAACAAACAAACAAAACAAAACAAAAC